rnacentral:sRNA from 1 species
GAUGAAGAUGACAUCAAACUGUCAGAUGCAGACCUCCGGGCUGAAGUGGACACAUUCAUGUUUGAAGGCCAUGACACCACCACCAGUGGUAUCUCCUGGUUUCUCUACUGCAUGGCCCUGUACCCUGAGCACCAGCAUCGUUGUAGAGAGGAGGUCCGUGAGAUCCUAGGGGACCAGGACUCCUUCCAGUGGGAUGAUCUGGGCAAGAUGACUUAUCUGACCAUGUGCAUCAAGGAGAGCUUCCGCCUCUACCCACCUGUGCCCCAGGUGUACCGCCAGCUCAGCAAGCCUGUCACCUUUGUGGAUGGCCGGUCUCUACCUGCAGGUGGGAUGGGUGGAUUUGGGGGUGGAAAAGGAGUCCCUGCAUGCUCCUCUGGCACCCUCUGUGCCUUUAGUCAAAUCUUUGCACUUUUGGGGAAGAGCUCAGGCUUUGCGUUCAGAGGGCCCUGGGUCUAAAUCCCAGCCCCGCAACAUAUUGAUCAAUUCUUCUACCUCUGAGCC